UGAUUGAUUAAUUUUAUCGUUUAUGAUAUUAAUUAACUGCAAAUGGGUCUAAUUUUGAACACAUACAACCAAUUCUCUCUUGAAUUCUUAAGUCCAAGUUAAGGAUUUAAUAAUAGAGAUUCUUGAUUGAAAAGUGUUAAUUUAUUUUCUGAACAGCUGUUAAAUCUGUAGCAUUUAGUUAAUAAUGCAAUUAAUAUUGAUCAUUUCUUUUUAAUAGGAAUGGUGAACUGAAGUGGUUUGAUCUUUAGUUUUAAUUGAAAUUGCUUGCAUGUUGUCAAACUAUUUGAUUAAUUGCCUAAGUGAUUAUCUUCAAACUGAUUUUGAUAAUAUGAAUUGGGGAGUAAAGUUUUUUGUUCAAAUAUUGUCUUUGUUAGUGGCAUGGAAUUAUUGCCUUGUUUUCAAAAGGAUUUAUGCCUUAUGAUUAGUCUUUCGAACUUUUUGAAGGACAACAUUGAAUUUUAGAAUGGAUGAUAGCUACUCUAUUUAAGGAAUACAAAUUGUUCCCAAAGUAUCUUGUAUGGCAGCUUCAAAUCACCUCAUUUCAUUUUGAUUAGUUCGGGUCAAUUGGAACAGUGGAGAAUUGGUGAUGCGGACUGCCAAGUGGAUAAAGAAUAGAGAAAAAGAAAUAAGAUAACAUUUGAUCAGUAUAUGGGAACGAAAAUGGUGGCCAAACUGGAGAAGGAUUACAUGAAGAGCUGUGAUGUUUCAAGUAACUAAAUUUGAGCAGUUCGGUGAUUUUGAGAAAUGAUGAUUCGGGAAUCCAAAUAUGGCGAUCUGUACUACAGCCAAACCCAUGUCAAAUACCAGUAGAAAUCUCCUAAUUAAACCUGCUAGUACUCAUUAUCUACGUGUUUAAAUUGGACCCCUUGUAUCUGUUCAAUAAUAAUGAAUUUCUGUGCUGAGUACUGCCUUGAAUUCAUGCUGGACACAAUUUGUUUGUUGGCCCUUGUAUCUCGGUGGACGAUGUUGUAUUCUAUUUGAGACCUCUACUGCUUUGGACAUUUUAAUGUUAUUUCUUUAGUUGGUUUGUUAAUAA